AAAAUGAUUUUGGAAAAAAAUGGUGAAAUUUUGGAUUCUGGGGGUAUUUUUGAAAAGAAAAUCGAAAAUCGGAGGUCAAAACGCAAUUUAGAAAAAUUGCGCCACGUCAGCAGCCACGUCAGCAGCCGGUCAGCAGCACUGGCCAACCAGAACACGCCGCGUGGCAGGGACGCUGACGCGGGACAGAGCUACAUGGGUGAUCCACGUGCACGAGAUCGGACGGCCCAGAUUGAAUCACGCACGGACGGCCCAGAUUA
rnacentral:lncRNA from 1 species